AACCGUCCCUUCCUGUUUGACUGCCGACCGAGCCACCGUAUUGAGAGGCACAACGAAGCCGCAAUAGACUCGACAAUGCCUGGGACUGAAUAUGCUGUCAAAGACAGGAUUAUUUGUUUUCCGACGUGAUCUUGACAAUUAUACAUGUUGACAUGUUUGAUUUGCGAUGUUUACUCGAUAGAUAGCUAGGCUAUAUUUUAUAUUUCGCUGUCACUAUCCGUGUUCCUCUGAUUGUCCUAUUCACAUUCUCAUGGCGGAGACUAAAAUUAUAUACCAUAUUGACGAGGAGGAGACUCCUUAUUUAGUGAAACUGUCGGUUCCUCCUGAGAAAGUAACGUUGGCGGAUUUCAAAAAUGUCCUCAACAAUCGUCCGGUCAAUAGCUACAAAUUCUUCUUUAAAUCUAUGGAUCAGGAUUUUGGGGUCGUCAAAGAGGAGAUUUCUGAUGAUAACGCCAAACUGCCCUGCUUCAAUGGGAGAGUGGUGGCCUGGCUGGUGCUGGCAGAAAGCUCCCAUUCGGAUGGCGGAUCUCAAUGCACAGAGAGCCACCCCGAGCUUCCGCCUCCUCUGGAAAGGACAGGAGGCAUCGGUGAUUCCAGACCCCCUUCUUUCCAUGCCAACGCUGUGAGCAGUCGGGAUGCCCUGGAUGCAGACACAGGCACGGAGUCGCUGCUCAGCCAACGCCGGGAGAGGGAGCGUGACCGCGCCCGCCGGAGAGCCCACAACGCAGAGAUCUCCCGGGUCAACGGGCACUCCAAAACCGAUCGUGGCGCCCGCGACUCAGCCAUGGGCUUCGACAGUGCCUCCAUGAUGAGCAGCGAGCUGGAGUCCAGCUCUUUUGUGGACAGCGAAGAGGACGAAGACACUAGCAGACUCAGCAGCUCCACAGAGCAGAGUUCCUCCUCUCAGCUCAUGCGUAGGCACAAGCGGCGAAGACGGAGGCAGAAAGUGGCCAAGAUGGACCGGUCGUCUUCGUUUAGUAGCAUCACCGACUCCACUAUGAGCCUCAACAUCAUCACUGUCACUCUCAACAUGGAAAAGUACAACUUCCUGGGCAUCAGCAUAGUAGGCCAGAGCAACGACAGGGGGGACGGAGGAAUCUACAUCGGUUCCAUCAUGAAGGGCGGCGCAGUGGCUGCUGAUGGCAGGAUCGAGCCCGGCGACAUGCUCUUACAGGUUAAUGAUGUGAACUUUGAGAACAUGAGCAAUGACGACGCUGUGAGGAUUCUGAGAGAAAUUGUGUCCAAGCCCGGUCCCAUCAGUCUAACCGUGGCCAAGUGCUGGGACCCGUCCCCUCGAAGUUACUUCACUAUCCCCAGAGCUGAACCAGUGAGACCCAUUGACCCUGCUGCCUGGAUCUCCCACACCACAGCACUGACUGGGCCUUAUCCUCACUAUGAACUCGAUGAUCUGCCUCUCUCUGUGAAUAAAACGGACAUGGCGACCAUCGUGAAGGUGAUGCAACUCCCAGAUUCUGGCCUGGAGAUUCGUGACCGGAUGUGGCUGAAAAUCACUAUCGCUAACGCCAUCAUAGGUGCGGAUGUGGUAGACUGGCUGUACACGCGAGUGGACGGCUUCAAGGACCGACGGGACGCGCGCAAGUACGCCAGCAGCCUCCUGAAGCACGGCUACCUGAGACACACGGUCAACAAGAUCACUUUCUCCGAGCAGUGCUACUACACCUUCGGGGAUCUGUGCCAAAACAUGGCGUCUCUCAACCUAAACGAAGGCUCCAGUGGUGGGGCCUCGGAGCAGGACACCCUGGCCCCUCUCCCCCCUCCCGCCACCAACCCGUGGCCCCUAGGCGGUCAGCCGUACCCUUACCCGUACCCCAGCGCCCCGCCCACCUUCCCACCUGGUUACUCUGACCCGUGCCACAGCUUCCACAGUGGCAGCGCUGGCAGCCAGCAAAGUGAAGGUAGCCGAAGCAGCGGCUCCAACCCCAGCGCUGGGACGGGGACUGGACGCCGGCCUUCCCCGAGGGACAAGGAGCCCAAGUUGGCGUGCGGAGGCAGUGGCGUUGGCGUCGGUGGCGUCGGCGUAGGGGGCAGCGAGUCCGAGCAGGGCACGUGGGGUUGCCGGCGGCCGGGCAACCGCUCGGCCAGUCAGCUGAGCCACCAUAGCAGCCACGCCCACUCCCACUCGCAGUCCCACCGGAGCCAAUGCCCAUCGCAGCACAGCUACGCCUUCUCCUACAGCCACGCCAUCCCCUCCGCCAUCACCGCCAGCGGCCCGCCCAACCACCACAACUACCACCAACACCACCAACACCACCAACCCCACCACCACCACCACCAGCAGCAGCAGCAGCAGCAGCAUCAGCAGCACCCGGCGUCCUGCAGUCACAGCGAUCGGAGUCACGCGUCCUCCUACGGGCCCCCAGGCCUGCCGCCUCCCUACUGCAUGGCCCGCUACGCGCCCAAGGCCUCGGCCCCCUCGGCAGCGGCGUCCAGCAACAGCCCCCCCGGGGCGCCCCCGGUGCGCGAGCUGGCCGACGUGCCGCCCGAGCUGACCGCCAGCCGUCAGUCCUUCCAGCACGCCAUGGGGAACCCCUGCGAGUUCUUCGUUGACAUCAUGUAACAGGGGACAGUGCCUUCUUUAUUAAAAAAGACAGGACGUUAAGGAGCCCAGCACAAGGCUCCUUGUGAGAGCGAGCGGCAUCAGCCUGAGAGCACGCCAAGAGGAGGAUGGUGGGUGGUGACGCAGCACUGAGGUGACAGUGUGACGUCUGCUUUACGCUGAGUAAAAAUGUCACGACGGGGGUGGGCAGAGGUGGUGGAGGUGUCGCUGGGGUCGGACCACUACACUGAGAGCAACGUGAUGAGACCUCCACUCGUGGCACGCAAGCAGAGAGAGAUUUCGGAUGAUUGAUAACCACAUGGUGACAUCAAAAGCAAAAUGGCUUCAACAACACCAACAAGAAAUGUGCAACCAAUAGCAUUUUUUCCCCUGCUCUUUCAAUGUAAAGUCAACUUUGGCCCUUGACCUGUAAACAUUGAGGAGGAAGGAACUGGAAAAUGUAGAUAAAUCUGCCAUUCUUAAUAUGUCAGGGAGAAUAUGAUAAACAAGGCAUUAUUGUUUUAUUUUUUUAAUGUGAUUUAACAAACAGCAAAAAUGAACUUUUUCCUGCUCCAGAUGCUUGCCAUCCAUAAAUGCAUAAAAGGAAAACAUAUGGAGUAUAGGUAAUGGACAGACAACGUUUCAAAAUGAAGUGUGCAUCCUCCUUCAGUUUGGAUGCACCCGUUCAUACCAAAGCCAGCACCCACAAGGCAGCCAGUAAGUUAACAUGAGUUAGCCUAUUAUUAAGAUGUCAGCCAGAUAACCCCUUGUUUAGUAUUAUAAUAGAGUGCUUGUAAAGAUACUGUUAUUGCAUGUGGGCUAGAGAGCAGAGCUGUGAGUUUACCACCCCCAGAAGACACUAGUGCAGUGCAUUAAGGAGUGAACUGACCACAAGGAUAAAGCUGCAGAAGGGAACCACAGCACCACUGGCUCUGUAUGAUUGUUUCUCAGUCACCUUGCUUUGAGUCAGUAUCAUGUGUAGGUCAUUAUGGUCCAGUCCUGUGACCGUGGUGGCCUGUGGUUCUGUCUGAAUCACUUCAACAAAGUUUCUAUUUCAACAAGACACUAAGCAAUCCUGUAUGUCAUACUUUGCGACCUGACCUAUGAUUCCUGUAUGUCAUCCUCUGUGAGUUGCCAGUCACCCUCUGGCCUCUGCAUUGCAACAGGAUCUACCAACAGGCCAGAUCUACUGACCGCUGACUUGACCGUCAUAUUUAGUUAAGUCAAGUGAAGUCACAUUUAUGUAUGUAGCGCACUUAAACACAAUACAAUUGACCCAAGGUGCUCACAAAAAUAAAAGAAAAUAAAUAUAGUAAUAAAGACAAAAAUAAGUGAAAAAAUAAAUAAUAGUAAUGAUAAUGAUAAACCGAUUAUGAUUAUAGAAUAAAAAAAGAUACGGUUACUGAAACUACUACUCCUAAAGCAGUAGUAGUAACAAAUGUAACAAAUACAAAUAGCAAAAUGUAACAAAUACAAAUAAGAGUGAAGUUAAAGGUGGCAGUUAGCAUUUAGGGAAUAGGGACACUUGGAACAGCCAACCCUACUUGUUCUAGUAAAGACAAAUGGCUGAUGGAUAGAUCAACAAAGGCAUUUCACAUCCAGCCACAGGUUAUCCACCAGACCCCCCCUCCCACCACCACCACAUUUCUGACAAUACACAUCUCUUGCAUUAUUGCACGUUUGCACAUCUUUCUGCUCUAUCACAACAUAUCAUAGGGCUUAAAAUGUCCUUAUCUGUUGCACUUUUUGUCUUAUUGUCUUCUUUACUGUGGGAUAGAGAGAAACGCAAUUUCUAUUCCUCUGCAUGUCUAGUGUAUG